GGAUAAUCUGCCUUUAGGACUGGGACAACCUUGGGAAACUGAGGCUAAACCCGGAUAGGGAAUUUCUUCUGGAAUGAAAUAUUCCUUAAAAGCAAUGCCUAAGGAUGAGUCGGCGGCGGAUUAGGUAGUUGGUGGGGUAACGGCCCACCAAGCCUGAGAUCCGUACGGGCCCUGAGAGGGGGAGCCCGGAGAAGGGCACUGAAAUACUGGCCCUAGCCCCACGGGGUGCAGCAGGCGCGAAACCUCUACACUACACGAAAGUGUGAUAGGGGGACUCAAAGUGCUCAUACAAUGUAUGGGCUUUUGCCAAGAGUACAUAUCUUGGAGAAUAAGUGGUGGGCAAGACUGGUGCCAGCCGCCGCGGUAACACCAGCGCCACAAGUGGGAACCGUGUUUAUUUGGCCUAAAGCGUCCGUAGCUGGUCUGAAAAAUCUUUUGUGAAAUUGUAAGGCUUAACCUUACAUCGUGCAGAANACACUCUCAGACUANGGACCGGGAGAGGUUAGGAGUAUUCUGGGGGGAGCGGUAAAAUGUUAUAAUCCCCAGAAGACUACCAGUGGCGAAAGCGCCUAACCAGAACGGGUUCGACAGUGAGGGACGAAAGCCAGGGGAGCGAUCCGGAUUAGAUACCCGAGUAGUCCUGACUGUAAACGCUGCGAGCUAGGUGUUGCAUAUUC
rnacentral:rRNA from 1 species